GCUGUGUCCGGGAGACCUCAGUUCCAAGAAUAACAGGAGGGAAAGGAAGGGUGUCGGCGUCUUUCCACAACCUGCUAGCAGGCUGCAGACAGAAUUCUGACACAUGGAGACACCGUUAGCAGAGCCCAGACGGCUUCGGCAUGUUUCCUGCCGUUUCCUUCUCUGUGUGUCUGGCCCGUGUCGGGAACACACUCAGCAAGCAGGCACCAGGGCUCAGGCGCUCAGGCCAGACACAGGCAAGCAGUGGGAUGGCUUCAGCCUUCCAGGGCUGUGUCCAGAAACCGACAGCGUCCAUUUAUGCAACUGAGGGUCCUCUGAGCUCGGGCAGCAGGGUCACCGUGGGACAGUCACAGCUGAACUCUGCACUCAAGGCCUCAGCCUGGCUCCCCUGUGUCAGAGCACGUGGAAACUACACAUGCUUUAAGGUGACGCUGAGUGCGAGCCGCAGGGCUGUGCAGUGGGCUGGACUCUUCCUCCUUGUUGAGGAUGAAGGCCCUGUCCUGGUUGUGGGAGCCUGCGCCUCCUUUGUGAAGGUGGGGUGCCCCCUGGUGUCCACGCGGGGGGACACGGACAUCUUCAGCCUGACCCAGAGCUCCAGAAAGAGGCAGCUGCAGAGAAUUCUCCCAAAAAGGCUGCACCUGACCCAGGGCUCCAGAAAGAGGCAGCUGCAGAGAAUUCUCCCAAAAAGGCUGCAAAAGGCAUCCCCUGUCCCCGUGAGAAUGAAGGGGAGACUCCCCUGCAGCACUUGCAGCAAAUGACAAACAGCUCGAAGUCUGCACACCUCACGUCCAGCGCCCCAUCAGCCCGCGGUGAUGCACUGUCCGCAGAAGUGCCAGGCACACCCAGCCCCUUCCCUUUGCGUCUGUGCCCCCCUUACCACCUGCUUUCUGCCUCUGUUUAAGU
rnacentral:lncRNA from 1 species